UGGGGAAUUUUGGACAAUGGGCGAAAGCCUGAUCCAGCAAUGCCGCGUGUGUGAAGAAGGCCUUCGGGUUGUAAAGCACUUUUGUCCGGAAAGAAAUCCUUGGCUCUAAUACAGUCGGGGGAUGACGGUACCGGAAGAAUAAGCACCGGCUAACUACGUGCCAGCAGCCGCGGUAAUACGUAGGGUGCAAGCGUUAAUCGGAAUUACUGGGCGUAAAGCGUGCGCAGGCGGUUUGCUAAGACCGAUGUGAAAUCCCCGGGCUCAACCUGGGAACUGCAUUGGUGACUGGCAGGCUAGAGUAUGGCAGAGGGGGGUAGAAUUCCACGUGUAGCAGUGAAAUGCGUAGAGAUGUGGAGGAAUACCGAUGGCGAAGGCAGCCCCCUGGGCCAAGUACUGACGCUCAUGCACGAAAAGCGUGGGGAGCAAAACAGGAUUAGAUACCCUGGUAGUCCACGCCCUAAAACGAUGUCAACUAGUUGUUGGGGAUUCAUUUUCCUUAGUAACGUAGCUAACGCGUGAAGUUGACCGCCUGGGGAGUACGGUCGCAAGAUUAAAAACUUAAAAUAAUUGACGGGGGUCAUAGCUGUUUCCU
rnacentral:rRNA from 1 species